AUGCAUUGCAAAUUGUUGCUGGCGGUGCGGAAAUCACAAAAAAUUAGACGACCCCGUGAUUGCCAUCAUUCUGGAUGCUAGUUCUGCGAGUUCUGGUUGGCUUUCGGUUUUAGUUAUAUCUGGGCUUUAUUUUUUCAGUGGUUCCCGGGCUGGGGGGCGUGGCCACCACCCACCCGCCGGCGAGCCAUUAAGAGCAAUUUGUUGACAGUGACACACAAAAAUGGACACACAAAGCGACGCGAGGCGACAAAACAGGCUCAACCAAACAAACAAACCGCAACCAAGCCAAACUAACAAAAAUGAAAGAAAAAAAAAUAUAGCAAAAUAAAAUAGUAAUGAUAACAUGGAGGGAAAAUCGGAAAAUGUGAGACAAUUCCGUGACAUCAUCAAAUCACUUUAAUUGCAAUCGCCGCCAAGGUUGGCAAAUUGAGUAAGGAUAACCGUCGUUCCUGUAUUUAUGUUCCUCAUUUAUUUCACUUUGAUUUAUUUCCCAUUACUGAGAAAGUAUCUACAACUGUUGAAUCUAAUUUUCCCUCUGACUUGGGCAUCUUUCGGAUGUCUGCUUCUGAAGCCAGGUGAAAUUGAAGGCGCUUUAUGUGGGAACAGGUGCAAUAAAAUAAUGGCAAGCAAUGGUAAGUUAGCUUGCAGUGACAGCUGAUAGAUUAUGGUGAAAGUAUAAGUAAUAUAGUUUUCAAAACUGGUGUCCUUUAUGACCUAUUCCCUAAUCGAUCUAAUGACUUGACCGCGACUGUUGCUAGAUGUGCGUGUUUGCUGGAGCGGUCAUCGCUUGGCCAUCAUCUCCGCACAUCCGCUGGGCAUCUGAGCUGUUUUUUUUUGUAUUAUUUUGUAUUAUUUUGCAUUUUCCAUGCACUCUGGUGAUGCGAUGUGUGUCUUUGUGGGGCCACGCAGAUUUCCGCUGCAGUUUGACAUUUGCAGUGGUGCGCCGGUGAUAAGAGAGCUGUGCAGCGGACAAAAGGCAACGCCAAACGCCACAAGGAGGCAUCAUGGAUGAUCAUGGAAGCAUGUCAAUUGCACUGAGAUACAAAGAUACUGAGAUACAUGUGUGGCUGGCGAAAAUAGUACUUAUUUAUUUCUACAUGCGCGAUGUCGUGCUGCUAAAGCGUGCAAUUUGCCACAGUCGCCAUACUAUACUCUAUACUAUAUUCUAAAUGCUAUAUGCUAGAUGCUAUAUGAUAUAUGGUAUAUAGUAGCUGGAUCCAAAGGCAAAUCAAAGGCAGCAGACGACAAAAGGCGGACGACAAACAAAAAAGAGCGCACGGAAAAAAUUAAAAUGUGUGUCAACAAAUUGCACAAAUUAUCGGCAGUUGAGCGCAGUUUGGGUGCACUCGAAAAAAAACUAAGGCACUCAUAAGAGAAGCUCAAAGCGAUAUUAAAAAGGUGAUUUUAAGAGGAAAAAGUAUCUGCCAAGCCAUUUCUUUCGGUGUAGUCCAACCUUACUGACCCACAACUCGUUUGUGACUCCAGUGUGUGACAACAAACAAAGAUAUGACCUUAAUCUGAUCACCUUUAAAUUGGCAUGCGAAUAGAGAAGGCUUCACUGUACUUGAAGCGUACGCUUGUGGGCGGAGUGGGCGGCAUUGCAUCCAUCCACAUGACAAUGGGCUAAUUGCAGGGAAUCCAUCACGCGGACUCAUCCCACUGUUCAUAAAAAACACAACUCAACACUUGACCCUGCGGUAUCUGCCCUUUUUGGUUUGAUUUUAUUCAUCCCAUUCAACUUUACAUCGAUUUGCAUAAUAAAUCACAGCUACUGUAAACACAACAUUGCGUGGGCCUCUUUUUGAAUUAAAAAUCGAAAAAAAACUGGAAAAUCAUACAAAUUGAGCGAACUAUAAAAAUGAAAAGGAAAUUGUCUACAUUUAUAUGAAACAAGCGGAUAAGUUUUGUAUAUUUUAAAAAGCUGAAUUAAAAGUUGAAUCUAACGAUUGCUUUAUAUAAAUAAAUAAGUAUCAUGCUAAAAUUUUAUGGUAUUUAUUCGCUUACAUAUUUUCGCUCACAUUUUUCAAAGUAAAAUAGACAAUAAUUUCAGUUAAAAAUCUUUAUAUGUAUAAUCUCUGCAAGCUGCCCAUCAAAAUCAAUGGUCACAGGCCCAACCCAAAUUAAAUAAAUAAAUGGCUUUUUGCUCGCUGACAUUUUUUAGGUGCGAAUGCAGAGGAGAAUACACAUCCAUCA